UUACAUUUUCAAGCCGGGUUUGCAGAAGGCAGUCUCUGGCUCAGGAUCCGUGGAAUGUCACUUUGUCUGGGUCCCGGGCCUCUACAGUUCCUUGAGCUGGCGGGAACAGGGAGGACGGGGCCUGGGAACUCCAUGCCUUAAGAAGUUUCUAAAGGAGUUAAACAAGGUAGUAGAGGGCUCUUAAGAGAAUUCUAGGAAAGAUUCUCUGGGAUCAAGUUCACAUCACAGUUCUGUCCUUUUUUAAAAUCUUGCUUCCACGGUGCCAGUUGGUGAUUUUAGAAACAAGAAAAAGAAAAGUGACUGUUUUACUUAACCAGCAUGAAAUUCCUGACCUGUAUGUUUGGGUUUAUUUCUCACCUUUAAUACUUGCACCAACUCCUUUAAACUGAGCAGAGCAAACAUCCAAGAUCCAAUCUACUCUUCCCCUGUCUGAGCAGAUAAUGUAAGCCACGGGUCAUUGUUCCCAGAAGAUCUUCCCAGUGACUGGAGCACCGAUGGAAGUUCAACACUGCUUCACAUCAGCAGGUCUUCUCCACCCACAGCUGCGGCCAGCAACUCUCACCCUGGGACAUAAUGUUAGCUAAGUCAAUGGAAGGUAAAGCCUGGAUUGAGAAGUUAGUAAAAAAAAUUUAGGGAAGAAAAAUAAUUAGUUUUUAGUCAUCAUGUAACCUGCCAUGAGGCUAAGUUAAUAGAAGACAAAAAAAGAAAGAAGAAAGGAAUUAUCCAUCUGGAAUGGUUGUUUGCCUCUUCUGAAUGUCUGUCAUGGGGUUUGGCUGGGACUGGUGAUGAUAAAUGAAACUUCUUAACAAAAAAGGAACUUCUCUGAACAAUUACCUAUAAGAAAGCCCUUUGUCAUUGCUCUGAUUCUGAAAAUACCCAUAAAGUUAGUAAAAGA